CCUACGGGGGGCAGCAGUGAGGAAUAUUGGUCAAUGGGCGAGAGCCUGAACCAGCCAAGUCGCGUGAGGGAAGACGGUCCUAUGGAUUGUAAACCUCUUUUGUCGGGGAGCAAAAAGGCCUCGUGAGGCCACAAGUGAGAGUACCCGAAGAAAAAGCAUCGGCUAACUCCGUGCCAGCAGCCGCGGUAAUACGGAGGAUGCGAGCGUUAUCCGGAUUUAUUGGGUUUAAAGGGUGCGUAGGCGGACUGGAAAGUCAGCGGUAAAAUCGAGAGGCUCAACCUCUUUCCGCCGUUGAAACUGUCGGU
rnacentral:rRNA from 1 species